rnacentral:rRNA from 1 species
AUGGUUGGAUGAAAAAUAAUCUUUCUUUAUUAUAUAUAAUGAAAUUAAUUUUUUAGUCAAAAAGCUAAAAUAAUAUUAUAGGACGAGAAGACCCUAUAGAGCUUUAUUUUCUUUUAUAUAUAAAUCUUAUAGUUAAUUAAAGAUUUAUAUAUUUAUGUUUAUUUUAUUGGGGUGAUUGAAAAAAUUUUUUAACUUUUUCUAUUUUUUUCAUUUAUAUAUGUUAUUUUGAUCCUUUAUUAUGGAUAAUAAGUCUAAGCUACCUUAGGGAUAACAGCGUUAUUUUUUUGGAAAGUUCAUAUUGAUAAAAAAGUUUGCGACCUCGAUGUUGGAUUAAAAUAAGUAAUAGGGGUAGAAUAUUAUUAACUAGGUCUGU